AUUGAACGCUGGCGGCAUGCCUUACACAUGCAAGUCGAACGUGAAAGCGGGGCAACCCGCAAGUAGAGUGGCGGACGGGUGAGUAAUACAUCGGAACGUGUCCAGUAAUGGGGGAUAACCUAGCGAAAGUUAGGCUAAUACCGCAUACGAUCUGCGGAUGAAAGCGGGGGAUGCGGCACUAAAGGCUUUUGGCGAAGGUGGCCAAAGGUGAGUCAAGAGCUUUUAGUGCNGCACCUCGCGUUAUUGGAGCGGCUGAUGUCUGAUUAGCUAGUUGGUGAGGUAAAGGCUUACCAAGGCGACGAUCAGUAGCUGGUCUGAGAGGACGGCCAGCCACACUGGGACUGAGACACGGCCCAGACUCCUACGGGAGGCAGCAGUGGGGUAAUUUUGGACAAGUGGGGCAACCCUGAUCCAGCCAUGUCGCGUGAGUGAAG
rnacentral:rRNA from 1 species